UUGCCUUAAUUAGUUUAAUCCCUUUCCCCUUUUAUGGGUCAAACUUGCCAUACGUUGUGGAGCAUGAUCCCCUUUUAUGCUCCUAUGUUCCCUCUCCUUCCUUUCACCUCAUCAUUGCAAAAAAUCAAGUGUCGACCACCCUAAAACACUCUAUUGUCAUCCACCCCUCUCACUCUCUCUUUUUUUUCUUUUCUUUUUCCUUUCCUCUCCACACCAUUUUCUUUCAUUUUUCAAAAAACAACCACCACCUAAAAUUCCUCCACCGCGAGCUAUAGCUUCAUCACCUCCUCACCACCAUCCAAGGUUCUCUGCUCCUCUUAUUUUCCUUCGAUCACUACUCUUCACCGUUAUCGUCACCGCUGUGAACCACCGCGGACAGCCA
rnacentral:lncRNA from 1 species